ensembl:rRNA n-R5s201 nuclear encoded rRNA 5S 201
GUCUAUGACCAUACUCUUGUAUAUCACAGGAUCUCAUCAGAGCUCAGAAGCUAAGCAGGGUUGGGCCUGGAAGGUACUUAGAUGGGAAAACUGACUGAAAAUGGUACUUGCUAACA